UUGUGGAGUGUGUUUUCUGUUUGCCAGAAAUUCAAGCAGGGACAUGAAACCAGUUCUGAGCACUGGAAUAACUAUUGAAGCUUUAACAUCCAGCCACAACCAUUUCAGUUUUAGAUGAUAGUGUUUUGCUGGACAUACCUUCAAUUUGGUGGCUCAAGGAUUUGCAAACAAUGAGUCAUAACUCCCUGGGAUCGAAAUUGCAGCUGCUGGGGCACCAAGCAUUGAAAAGUGUGGUCCAAGAUAGAGCAAAGUAAACCUCACUGCCCACACACCCUUAUCCUUCAAGGCUGAGUAUCUUUGCAACACUCUUCAAAAACAUGCACACAAAAUUAUACGGUUGCUAUUGAUACAGAACUUACUUCUCCUUUUAGAGCAGAUAAGAGGGAAUUGCGAAAAUCUGUGAUUUGAAAGAACUGAAGCAGAUGGACCUGAGGCCAAUAUGCAGCACCCUGUGCUUGCAGGAAGGCGGCUGGAUUGUGAGAAAGGUGUUGUGCUAUGGUAUGUGGCCAAGCCCUUCUGCCCAAAGAGCCCCCAGGGCCUCUGCAGACCACGUCUGGCCCUUCACAUCCAGGAUGGACCUGCAGAAAGCGUAUGGAGGUGGUUUGGUUCCAACUCAAGGAGAGCUUCCCCUCUUCGAAAUGCCUAUGGGACACUUUUUUGGCAUGGACUGACUGCUAAAGAAGCUGCCUGCAAGUCACCUGUACCAUAAAAUAUCCCACUUGCAGCGCUCACAUGGCAUCAGGGCCCUGUUGUGUGACACAUUCUGGGUACAACAACAGCAUGACACAGCCACCUUUGCCACAAAACCGCCUGGCUGCGGGGCUCACGCGGCUGGUCUGUGCAAGGGAGAGUGGCAGGAUACAACCUAUGGGUCCUGCAGGCUGUUACAGGCCUGUCUGGCCUGGCCCUGUGGCUGCAAAUCCACUUAUGUCAUGAGCUGGGAGAUCUCAGACACACCAGACCUUCACUCUCAUGGCUUCAGAACGUGCAAGUCCUAGCAUUAUAAUGAUAAUUUGAGGAAGCUGGCCUGGAAAGCAAAAGAUGGCAAGAGAAAAACAUUGCAAAGCUCCUGAGAGGAAGCUUCACACAUGGAUGACAGGACGGUCAGCUGGAGCUUUAUUUUUCCAGACCUUGGGUAACAAAGGCAACAAAGGAUCCCAUGGCUGUGACCAGCAAUGAGGAGGAGGGACUGCAGGACUCAGGUGAGCCAAAAUAUGCUGGGUAAGUACUAGAAGAAUGAGCAGGCUCCCCCCAAGCUUUAACAUCACAGAUGGUCCAAGGUGAGGUGGCUGUAUGUCCAUGGGAAGUGUGUGAGUGCAUUAGAAACUAUGAGAAACAUCAGCUAAGCCAAGGUGCAGGUUAGCCCCCUGGAUCUCUCUGCAGGCCCCUCUGAAAUCAGCACAUAAUGAGUGCUUUUGUAUUCAGGCUAUUUCUCUCACUGCCAUUUCAUGGACUGGCAAGAGGAAGGGGAGGAUCCCUUUCAGUCCAAGGACACGCAAAGAGAUGGUGUUUUAUUAUCCCUAAUUGGAUGGGACAGAGAUUAGAUGUCACAAAGGGGACAAAUCAAAGCUGGAGACGUUUCUUACUUCCUGGUUCAUGGGAUAAAUGCUGAAAUAUGUUGAGGUUUCUGCAGUGGUAAAUGUUUGUUUGCUAUAAUAUGAUGGAUCUGCUAAUCUCUGUGAAAGUUCCUCAAAGGCAGCAAACUUCUUUCUUGUAAGCAAUGUUAGUGAUUGGGAACAAUUGGCUUUGUGCUUUAAACCAAUCAAUUUUUAUAAGGUUCCAUUGAGUUUUUGUAUUAUCAAUUGAGUGGUCAGAUGUGAAACACUAUUUUCUUCACAGGCUACAGCAUUUAGUCGUGCUGUUCACUGCAUAAUGCUCUGGUGUCUCCUGAGCCCCGUGUUUAUUCUGGUGGGGAAGUGUGUGUGUGUCUGUACAGCCAGGUAAAACGCAGAAGCCACCACUCAGCACUUCCAUUUACCUCUUUCUUACCACUGUCUCUUUGCUUUCAACCACAGCCAACCUAACUGUCAUCUGUGCCAAAUUACAAGCACCCGGGCUACAUCACAAGGUCCUCCCUGCAGACAUUCAUUCUCCUGAAUGACAGCAUUCACGUGUUCUUCAAGGCAGCAGGACUUUGCCUCGUCAGCCUGAGCAAAUGCAGCAUUUCCACAGUGGACCAGAAACUCAUCACGGAUGGCUAUUGCAUGACACAGCUGCUGGUUGUGCCAAGAAAGCCAGUAACACAGGAACUCAGUGCGAGGUUAUCCUCUGUGUAACAAAAGCACUUAAUAGAUGGCGCCAGGAUCGCUCUGCGAUCGAGAGGGAAGGAAGAAAUCUCACCCACGGGCCUUGACUGCUUUUUGUAGUGUGUAAAAACAAAAAAAAAAAAAAUGCAAGUUUUAGGCAUGAGAGCAGGGGAACGCUCUAUAGCACAGCUCUCACGCCUGCUGCUAACAGCCCAGCGUGUGCCUUCACUUAAAGGAAACUGGCAGGGCCAGGAGUGCUGUGCCCCACCAGCUGCUGCUGUGCCCAAAGCUGCCGUCCUGGGGCUCAGCUGUGAACCACAGACCUGCACAAUCAUCAGAUCGUUUCAACUGGAACAGAUACUCCAGAUUAUCACAUCCAACCAUCACGCUGCCCUACCGCAUCCCAUCACUAAGCAAUGCCCUUGGUGCCAUGUCCACGCAAUACCUGCACUGCCUCCCCGGGCAGCCCAUUCCAACGUUUAACACUGCUAACGAAUACAUUCGAGUCGCCUUA